UGUUCACUUGUUUGUCUGCUGACCUUCC
rnacentral:piRNA from 1 species